AGAGGUGUGUGGGAAGGGUGCUGACUGCCCAACCGGCUACUACUGCUUUCCAGCCCGGAAGGCAGGAGCAACGUACAAGUGUGUCCGUACGUACACCACGCCAGCAACUGGAAAUGGUCUCUAUCGCUUGCACAUAUCCACUGCCCUGUUCAACAGUCAGGCCAAGAAGACGUGCGAGGGCCUGGGAAUGUCGCUGCCAAACCCUGAAAAAGACCAGGCACUUCUUUUUAACCAUGAUAAAUCGGUUCAAGAUAGAUUCUGGCUUGGGUACAGCCCGGAUUCAAGUCGGUUUGAACUAAUCAACCGGUUUGGCAAAAGUUCUAGACAACAUUUGGUCUCAGAUCUUGUUCCAGCAUCUACAUCCACUGUCCUCUGCACCAGUUUCUACCGCAGAUGUCACUUUGACGCUCAUUGUGCCUCCGGCCAAACAUGUGUCGAUUUCGGAACUUUGAAAGUGUGCUUAA